rnacentral:rRNA from 1 species
UACGGGGGGGGCAAGCGUUGUUCGGAAUUACUGGGCGUAAAGGGCUCGUAGGCGGCCAACUAAGUCAGACGUGAAAUCCCUCGGCUUAACCGGGGAACUGCAUCUGAUACUGGAUGGCUUGAGUUCGGGAGAGGGAUGCGGAAUUCCAGGUGUAGCGGUGAAAUGCGUAGAGAUCAGGAGGAACACCCGUGGCGAAGGCGGCUCUCUGGGCCGGCCCUGACGCUGAGGCGCGAAAGCGUGGGGAGCGAACGGG